GGGGGGCAGGUGUGUUGCUGCUGUGUGAACACCAAACAAUUCAUUAAGAAUGUGUAUUUUACAGACCAUACAGAGGAGAGACACGACAGAAGCUUCAUAGUGGCGGGCAACGUGGCGGCGCGGCGUUCUGAAGCACGGCGGGAUGUGUCGGUGUGGUGCAAGGACUAACACGGGGGCGAGAUGCACUUCAUGGCUAUGAGCUGUGAGCUAGAGGGAUGGUGAAGUGGGUUUGUAGUGACAUCCCAACCGGCCAUAACGUUAUGAGAACCUGCACAAUCAAAUGAGAUUCAGUACUAAACCUGUACAAAGAUAAUACAGUAAAGUGGAACCUUUGUUAGGGCCAUGAAUUUGUUCCAGAAGGUCCGACUCUAACAGAAAGAGACGUUAACUGAAUCGAUUUUUCCAUCAAGACAUAAUGUAAAUCCAAUGAAUCAGUUCCAGAAAGCCACAAAUGUUAACAAAAAAUAUGUUAUAGUUUUACAAUUAUAGUUUUACAUGCAGAAAACAAUUUGAAAUGCAAAUGCAAUAUGUAAAUAUUUUACAUAUAAAAGAGAUAAAUGAAUAUUUAAGGUUAAUUUUACCUUAAUUGAUGACAGGAUUCUUGACGUGACCGAAAACAGGAAUGUAGUGGUGGUUGAUCUCGCUGCCACAUCGUGUCUUUGGGAACAGUCCCGUCUUCCGUGAAGGUAAAAGUAACUUUAAAUGUUCAUUCAUCCCUUACAUUCGCCAUGUAUUUGCAUUUAGAAUUGUUUUAUGCAUGUAAAACUGUAAUUGUAAAACUAUAAAAACGUGUUUUGUGUUCACAUUUUUGAGAGUCAGCCGCCGAUGACAUCAUAGAUGGGCAACGGAAUGCAGCUACUUCCAGUUGUGGUUGCGAUUUUUUUUAGCUAGCUAAUAGGAUGCCAACAAGGAAGGAUGUUUUGAUGCCAACAAGGAAGGAUGUUUUGUGAUAAAAAAAAAAACAAAAAAACAUUAAGAACACAGUUGGGCUUAAGCAGUGUAUUAACAACACGACAAGACGUGCACCAUAUUGUACAAUAACUGGAGAAUGUACGCAAACCGAGGCAAAAUUGCGGCGUAAAUUUCCGAUGUUAACCGAAAAACACGCUACCCGGAGCGGACGCUAACCGAGGUUCCGCGGUGUUCAGUUUGGAUCGACAUUGUCAGAAAGAUAUUGAUUUAACCGUGUUUAUUAUUGUGGUUGUCGUCUGCAGUCUGGUAGAACUGCACUGCAUCAUACUACUGUAUGUUCAUAAUAUUGUAGUUAACUGAUUUUGCAAAAUGAGAGUCAAAUUAUUAUACAGUGCAGUUCCACAUCACUGUAACCUAUAACCACAAAAAACCCAUAUUGUUAAAUUGUUCACACUCCCAUCAAUAUCGUGUGUUAUCAUUAUAUCCGCUAUAACGUGGGCGGUUAGUGUAUGUCUGCGUGUGCGCUUUGUUGAGAAUAUAAUAAGAUUAUACAACUACGGUCUAUUCACGUAACUUGAGUGAUUAACAAGUACUUUCCUUUUAGAAGAGAACGCAAUCAUGUUGUAAUCCUAACAUAAUAUAUUGCGCAAUGCAGUCUGUAUUAAUAAGCUAGAGAGCACAAGGAUGGAUAUUAAUGAUGAUCUAUGCAUAAGUGGCGCACAUGAGGCUGAAUUAUGUGUGAGAAUGAUGAAGGCGAGAAGUACAUGUUUGUGUUUACGCAUCUCUUUCUUUCUGUGUGUGUAGUCAGCUUCCCUCAGAUGUUGCAUGUGACUUCUGACCUCAGAGUUUGGGGUCAAGCCGUGACAAAUGAGAUGGCAGAGUUCUGGCCAGAACUGCAAACAUUCCACAACAAUCUUGUCCUCUACCACUCGUUUCAUAUCCGCGUAACCACCCCUCCACUGCACUUUUCCCUUUACGCUGCAUGUCUUUCAUGAACUGGGCAAAAAAAUGCUUUAUUGGGAUUGCUGUGGCAAACUUUACAUACAUUAAGAAUUACAGCAUGAGCUAAAAUUACAUUUCCCGAAAACGCCUGCCUUGUUUAAACAACAAAACAAAAUAGCAUGAUCUCGUAAGGGGUGAGGGGGCUGUGCAAGAGACUGGGAUAUUACGGCCAAGCACACUAUGUGAUUGUGUGUGUGAAAAGCUUGUCAGUGAUGUCAAGGAUGAGAAAUGUUGCAGUGUGAUUUUUACACACACUGCUGGCUCGAGCAUUUCCGGCAACAUUUCUCACUCUGCCUCCCUCACACCAUCCACUCUCCUGCAAUAUCCCCACAUUUUUCUAUCCUUACACAUCACCCUUCACCACCACAACAGCCCCCUCCCCCUUCCUUCACAGGCCUCCCUGUUCCUUCUCUGGCCAUUCUGUCUCCUUUUACCACUCGUCCCGGCUGUCCCAUCCUCACCCGAUGUCAACCUCACCCUUCUGCCUCUUUAGUUCUCCGCACAUUCAGUGCCUCCUCCUCUCUCCCUCUGCUUAUCUUCCUUGUCACGUUAUUCUCUAAUUUUCUAAAAAGCCACCAAAAGAGUGCAACCACCUGUGACUACUGAAAGCUCUAAAAAUGUUGUUCUUCACUAGGAAGCUAGUUAAGGUAAGUGGCAGCUCCUAUAUUGUGAUGACAAGGCAAAUAAGGCUUUUGGUUGUUUUUUUGGUUGGCUAAAUGUCAACCCCCUUUCCGUCAAAGCUUCACCCUAUGAAAACAAAAACACACACACUUACAGGACAAAAAGAAGUCUGGACCUGAUGCUUGAAUGUGCUUCUGUAAUUAUGUAAUUGUACUAAAAGGCACUGCAAUCCAAAUAAAAACAUCAUUUACAUAACGCGACUAUGUUUUGUUCCCCUCCUCUAUCUGAAUUGUGGUAUCAUUUGAUGUCUGCUACGGGAGCCAUUGGAGGCUACACAUGGCUGAACAUGGAACUUGACCUGGUCAAGAAUGUUUCCUCUCAGGGUGGGUGAUCACAUGAUGCAACAGCACAGAUGGAUCUGAGCUCUAAUGUACCGAGCAAUGGUGCCGAUUACGGCCAUGCUUUCUGCUUUAACAAUGUUUUUUUUCUCAGGCAUGAUGGUAAAGACAUUAUUGCAACAUUUUAAUAUUGCUGUGAAUCCAGGAUACAACUUAAAAUAGUCUCCACGUAGAAAUACAAGAUAGCGACAAAGCGCGACAAAUGAAGCCGUGCAACUGCCAUGUUAAGAAAAUUGUUGAUUGCCUGUAGCCAGUGUUUUUUGUUCUUUGCAGGACAGUUUGGUUAGUUUUCAACGGCAGAAAAUAAAUGUAACAAAAACAACUGAUCCAUAAUAUAUUACAGACUUAAAGACCUAAAGGCAAUCGGUUGAUUGGUUGACACAGAGAAUCCACCAAUGGAAUGCGAGAUCACAAAAUUCUCAAAAUAAGUUUGUCCUCUUCUUGUAAUAAAGAAAUAAACUAAUACAGAGAAGAAAGAACUCUUUUGUCUUUUUGUCAACAGUGCUGCGACAGUGUUAUACUAUUUUAGUAGCUGAUGUUGCUAUUGAGUGCAAAAGGAGGAAACAAGUGUGGUCCAAACAGUACCAUAGCAAGCUCAAGUGAAUGGUACCACUUGGUGGCUUUAUGGUCUAGUUUCACUUUCAAGCAUUGUCUUGGCAUUAAUGGUCAGCUUCCUGCGUGUAUGCGCAGUGUAAAUAAAUGAUUAAGCGCUGCAAAAACACUAAGUGUCAGCAAUCAGCUUGGAGUUGAAACAGGAAGUUAACGACAGACAAAUGGGAGAGAGGCGCAGGCAAAUGUGUAAGUUAUAGCCAUGACGCCAUUAGCAGAUUGUCAUGUUUAUGUCCCUUGCUCUGCUUCCUUCAUUCUAUGUCCACAGGCAGCUGAAAGAUGUUUAGAGGAAAAAAAAAAAAAAAGGCGCUCAAAGCUCCUUGAUUCCCUGCCACCACCCACGGUUCCGGCUGUGUUUUGGAGCGUGGAUGUCUGCCCUCGUCCCCCAGGGCACCGGUCCCACUUUAUCCCACCCCUUUUCAACCAACAAGCACCCAGCCCCCCGUUUCCGACCCCCAGUCCCUCCAUGCUCCUGCCUCACUCACUGAUUCAGCAGAAUGCCAGCGUCUGCCGUUUCCCACCUUUUCCACCAAGUCUUGCAGCUGUAAUAGACGGUAAUGGCUUAAGACAAAUCAACCCAUUUCUUGUAAAAAUAGCACCAAAUAACCCUCCCUACCCUGCAGUGUGCACUCUACUCACGCACACGCCAGGGGUUCGUGUGGUGGUAGUGGGGUAAAGAGUGGCCCGUCCAUUCACCCUUGGUCUCUGCUUCAACAUUGCUCUCCCUCUUCUACCCCUAAACCGGAAAAGCCACUCCAACUGAGACAUAAGUCUGUCGUACAUACACAUCCCUCUCAGACCUUACAAUGGAUGGGUAAUGACAGCACUGUCAGGGAGGGGUGGGGUGGUCAAGCCAUUCUUUCCAGUAAUGGAAGUGGUUACUGCUAUUCCCUACACACCUACAGGAACGAGGUAACCACUGUGAUCUAUAGCAAGGCCUGAUCACAGGAGGGCUGUACUGAUGCUGAUGAAUAAGAGCAUGUCUGCACAACACUUUUUUGUCUGUGGUUGUUAUUGCACGGUGUGUUAAGGAGCUCUGUAAAAGCAAUUUCUAAACAAAUAUGUACCAAUAAAUCAAUGGCGUUAUGGCUCUCAGCAUGGCAAGCUAACAAUCCAACAUUCCUGACAUUCGCUGAUUUAACACAGACAUAAGAUGCUACCACAUCUUUACUAGCCUGUCACUACUUUGAACGAUGGGAAAUCCAAGUUGCCGGUAACAUUAAGCACACCACUACAGGCUGACUGUCCUCAAACGCUUUCCAAUCCGAAAGAGAUUUAUGAGUAGGACCAGAUCCAUUAAUCCAUUGUCGAUUUGCUGUGGCUGCCCUGCGGGGUAUUCUAGUAUCAGAUAUCAGUGUUGAAACAUAGCCCAUUGUAAACCAGGGUACGUGGUAACAUCAUGACUCUUGUUAAAAUGUUCUACCAAAACACCAAGGAGAAGGUUGAGAAAGUUUCAAAUGAGAUAUAUUCACUGCUUUUCUAUCACACACCCAGCAUGACCGUCACACGUCCUUACAGACAAGUGAAGUUUUAAUGUGUAAAUCUGCAAACUGCAAUUUCACACAAAUACUAAUUAAUGUUGCUUUUGAGUCGAAUGAUGUUUGAUGUUGAUGUAUGAUGUUUGGGCAAUGCCAUGGCAUCACUGCUGCAGCACUGCUUCAAGUAAAUUCAACUCUCCCAAUCGAGUCACAUAAUCCACUGAGGAAUGGCGAUGCAAUUACUGACUGCAAAAAAAUAGUACAAUGCUAAGAAAAAAUAUUUUUUUGAUGUACUAAUUGUGUGAAUGCAUGAUUGUAAGCAUUUACAUUAGAACAGCGCUCAGUGGACUGUAAUACAGUGUUAUUGUCUAAAACCAAAUCGUAGAACAACUGAAACAAUAUUUCCCAUAGGAAAAAAUGUAAACACAAACACUCUUAACAUAGAACAAUUGUAGUUUUACAUGUAGGAAACAACAUAAAAUGCAUAUAAAUGAGAAAUUAAAAGGAUAAAUGAAAAUUUAACAUUGACUGAAGACUCUUGCUGGCGACAAUCGGAGAGACACACAGACAGUACCUUUGCAACAAGUUAUGGCAAUUUCUUUGGGCCCAUGGGGUUUAUUUUGCACCCGUACUUAAUAAAAAAAAAAGCAGUACACAGUACACACUUGCGGUAUAACGGUGUUAGAACUACAAUCUGUGGUGACAUCAAAUAGGGGCGACAGAAGUUGAGAGAAGGCUAACAGGCACGUUUUGUAAUAAAGGCACUUUACGAACACGGUGGACUCAGUCAGUGUAUCAAUAACACAACAAGACUGAGUCACCAAUGUGUGGGAUUUUAUUUUUCGGCUCUCAAGUUCGCUGAAUGAUACAUGAGAAUAUCGACUAGUUUGCGUAACAUUCUUAUUUGAGAUUGAUAAAUGAAUGUGCCUUACAGAUACCGUAGUAUUGAAUAAGCAAUCAAGUAUCACAAGAUUAGGUGUUGGGUGUGGUAAUUGUAAUGGUUUAAUUUAUUUGAACAUGCAAACAAGUUACAUUGGAAUACAUCACCUAAUACAAGUCACCGUUCCACAUGUCCAAAAGGAGUCGAAAGAAGCAAAGCUUAUUUCAUCCUAGCCCCCAUCUGUUUCACAUCAAUUGAAAUACAUUUGUUCACUUCCUGUAUUCCAAAAGUCUUCUUUGCUAAUUUAAAAUACAUAGGACAGUGAUAAGAUAAUGUAACAAUGUGGUAUAACAGUUGCCAAAGUUGUUGUCACCACAAAUAAUUGAUAUGACAGUCAUAAUAAAUACAGUAAUAAUAAGCAUAAAAUAGACAUAACAGAGCAUAGUUGGAUAAUGGGUGCGUACUGACAAUGAACUCACAAGAAUGAAGAGUUAGUAAUGAGUGUUGUAGUGAUUAGCAUUAGCAUUAAGUGUGAUGUGUGAUUUUGUUGGUGUGUGAUUCAAGAUGGCUGAAUAAACAAGCACCACUGGGAGGAGUCUGCCCACAUCUUUAUGAAUACCACAAGAUUUAACAUGCCAAAUGAUAAAAUACAACAGUUUGUUUCAGGCAAAAUUGUACAAUAACUGAGAUAUGUAUGUAUGAGAACCACGGCAAGAUUUUCACAAUGUUUUUGUCUAAAACAAAAUCUUACAAAACUGGGGUGCUCGAAAACCGAGGUCCCACUGUACUUUUAAUGCUGAAUACUGCUGAAGCAGAGUGAGUCCACAUUGUAACAAUGGCCUCAGCUACAAGACAAUAUAAUUGGUUCCUUGCAGUCAAUGGAACAGCGUCUAAAAAGCUAGUUGUGGUUUGUGCUUGGGGACAGACGACUGGUCACUUGGUGCUCCAAGGCAUCCCUCUGCUAACCUGGCCUCUCCCAGGUAAACCUCCACAAAGCCCCCGCAUGUCUGACAACAACAGGCCCUUCAAAUUCCACGCUUAGAUGCAGGCUUAGGUAAUGAUCCCUAGAUACUGUCUUUUCUCCAUUUCCAUCAUUGUCUGUCUUUCUUGAAGUGCUUGUUGCACAUCUUUCCUCAGGGGUCCUUGCCUUCUUAAGUGCCUCCAGAAAAGGUUAGCUAAUUGGAAGGUAACUGUCUGGCUGUGGUUGGACUUAUCUAAAUUGUGGGUACUUGAGUACAGGCUACACUCUCUUUGAUGAAGAGACAUACAGUAUGUAGAAUGAGUGAAGAAACAGAGAGGAUGUGUGGAGACAAAGGUUUUGCAUUUUGAAGUGUAUUUUGUAACUUACCUGUACUAGCAAAAGUGCAGGCUGCAUUUUAUGUAGAUUGCAAAGUAUACAUAUUGUACUAAAAUUAAAAUUGGUGUCUUACGCAUUUAUUUUUAUGAAAGUUCUUUUCUCCACGUAUGAGUGUUUUGUUUCCAUUUUAAGGAGCUCAAUGUGUUUUGCCUAUUGAUCCUAUACUGUACAUGCUAAGUGCCAAAAGCAGAAAAACCCACCCCUGGGUGAAAAAGUGUUUGCCCCCUAAACUCUAAACCAGGGCCACCCUUAGCAGCGGCAACUGCAAAUCAAGCAUUGGCGAUAACUUGCAAUGAGUCUCUUACAUCGCUGUGGAGGAAUUUUUGCCCACUCAUCUUUGCAGAAUUGUUGUGAUUCAGCCACAUUGGAGGGUUUUCCAGCAUAAACCGUCUUUUUAAGGUCAUGCCACAGCAUCUCAAUAGGAUUCAGGUCAGGACUUUGACUAGGCCACUCCAAGGUCUUCAUUUUGUUUUUCUUCAGCCAUUCAGAGGUGGACUUGCUUGUGUGUUUUGGACCCAAAUUCAUUUCAGCCUGAGGUCACAAACAGAUGGCUGGACAUUCUCCUUCAGAAUCUUUUGCUAGACAGUAGAAUUCAUGGUUCCAUUUAUCACAGCAAGUCUUCCAUGUUUUGAAGCAGUAAAACAGCCCCAGACCAUCACACUACCACCACCAUAUUUUACUGUUGGUAUGAUGUUCUUUUUCUUGAAAUGUGGCAUUACCUUUACACCAGAUGUAAUGGGACACACACCUUCCAAAAAGUUCAACUUUUGUAUUGUCAGACCACAGAGUAUUUUCCCAAAGGUCUUGGGGAUCAUCAAGAUGUUUUCUGGCAAAAUUGAGACAAGCCUUAAUGUUGUUUUUGUUCAGCUGUGGUUUUCAGCUGUGGUUUACAGCGCCACAUAGGUUUUGAUUUUUUUUUCUCUCUUAAUAAUAAAAAGUUUCAUUUAAAAACUGCAUUUUGUGUUCAGUUAUGUUGUCAUUGACAAAUAUUUAAAUUUGUUGGAUGAUCUGAAAAAUGUAAGUGUGACAAACAUGCAAAAAAAAAAAAAAGAAAUCAGGAAGCGGGCAAACAGUUUUUCACACCACUGUACAUAUAUAUAUACACAUAUAUAUAUAUGUCAAUAGGAGGAUUUAGCGUUUGCAUUGCCCCAGUCAAAGAUUGUGACUGACCAAUCAAAUAUUUCGAAAAGGUCCUCAAUAAUGCUGACAUGCAGACUAAUACAGUAUGGGACUGUGGGUGGUGGCAGGAGGCCUGCUGUGCUGGCUCCAAGCAGAAAGGAUGAACAAGAGGCCAAAAGGUUACUGGGCAGAUGUCAGCCCCCCCGCAACCUUUACUCGCAUAUAUGUGCGUUUGAUAGUGACAGGGGCAAUUAUAAAGGUAUAUUUCAGGCAGGUCAAAUGGGCGAGGGCAAAGUGCAGAACCUUGCAAGCACUGGCUGGAGUCAAAGGUUAGCACGGACAUAGGCAUCACAGAGCGCCGUCGGGCAGGGAAUAAUGGAAUCAGAGCAACAAAGACAUUGACCGAUGAGACGAGGAGAGAGGAAAUAUUGUCUAGUUUAUUUUGUAUUUAUAAUGACAAUACAUCACACAGGGCACUCCAGAUUGAAUCUCCAAUUAUGCCACUAAAUGAUUUCCUUUGUGUUCAGUACGAGACAGUCUUUGUGCUGCAUGUGUACUGUACACUGUCUGUGCAGGCAUCAAGCAUCACAACUUUUCAAUAUGAAUACGCCAAGGUCAAGGAAGGUCAGGGUAUGUAUUUAGCACCUGUGACCAAUACCAAAUGUAAAGGUCAAAGUAGAAUUGCCUGACUCUGAGCCAUACAACAUUUGCUCAUCCACAUUUAGAAUGCAUCCCAUUGGCAGUGAUUUAUGAAAGGAGAUAAGUACAUGGAUGGAAGAAAACACUGUCUUUCUCCUAUCCCGUCAGCCUCGGUAAAUACACUACUCACUCAUAUCAAUCACAGUGUCACAGUGAAUCGCCAGUGUAGGCUUCCUGCUCAGAUUAAAAACGGUCUUUUUUUCUUGCUCUGCGUUCUCGCUCAAGCUCUGGGGAGCACAUUGGCUGUAUUGUUCAGUAUUAGCAUUUCAAACAGCUGCGCUACAACUGUAGUUAUAUGUUGAAAGUCAGCAGUCUGCUUUUAGUUAUGUGCCAUGCACCAUGAAUAGAUUCCAUACACUAUCAACCAUAUGCAAGCAAGUCAUCAAUUAAACAUGAAGAUGCAAAGGGUAAAUUGGAUGAAUGAAAAGACUCAAAUUAAACUAAAAUUAAACUACAGUAUUCAAUCCUGGUAUUGUAUCUGUUUUGUGUACAUUGCAUAUGUAAGAUAUUGCAAUUAUCUCAGAAAACUGAAUGCAGAGACAAGCUGGAAUGUCGAAAAAAGAAACAAACUGACAAACCAACUGUUUUAUACAUCACAGUACCUCCUGUUACAAAGCAUUCUCAUUUUCUUAGUAUUAGCCAGACCCAGAUUAUUAAAUUAUUAUUAGCCAGAUUAUUUUGCCAAUCGUUAAUGAUUGGCAAAAUUUUCGCCAAUCAAAUUUGUCCCAGAGUAUAGAGCUCAAAUCAAAUGUUCCUGUUUUAUGGAGUUAUGAAUGACUGGACUGGAAUUAUUCUGGACUUGGACUGCACACGUGGUUUGGACCUUUGCCACUUCAGGUGCUUGUGGCCUGAACUGUUUUCAGUUUUCAUAAAAUAAUUUUUUCUUAAGUUAUUUCUGAUGAUUGGAAUGAAACAUGGGCAAAUUAUUGGUAAGGCAUGAGCAUGAAUACUUGAUUCUGAGCAUCGAGUUUCUGAUUGGAUUCUCAAAACAGGGCUCAGGGUUUGAGCAGAUUUUCUGAUAAUA